CGUUGAUUUUACACCUUCAAGACGUUAAAUGUGUAUUACCCGUUACGUUACGUAAUUAUCAACGAGCUGUACGUAACGUUACGAGAGGUAAACGACUAGACGUGGUGUAUUUCCGUGAUGUGAGACGUUAUAAGGGUGGGAAUGAAAUUUGUGUUCGAUGUCAAUUGGAACUUUUAUCCGAGUUGAAAUCCACAAUACCAGCAAUUCACCAUGAACACUUCAGUAUUGUCUGUGCUCGCACUUUGCUGCAUUGUCUCCCUUGCCGUGGCUGAUUAUGGCGCCUAUUAUACACCAUACUAUGGCGCCCAGUCGUCCGGAUAUGGUGACAACACAUUAUUGAUGUUCAUUGGAAUGCUGGCGAUCUUGACCCUUCUGUUCACCACCCUGACACAAAAUACCACCAACAUCAUCAACUUGACCGCUACGGCUUAGAAAAUUGGCUCGAAUUUUUGGCUGCACUGUGGUUGCAACAUUCUGCGUCACACGGCUAUUAUCAUGCAAAUUGUCAUACUGCAUUAUCAAACGAAAUAAAUAUUAUCAUACCUAUUUAUUGUCUAAAGUUAUGCAUUCAUUGUACAUUAGAUUAAUAAAUUUAUUUAUUCUCUAAA